UGCACUAGUCUAUGUUGGGACAACUCUGAAAGACCUUUCGGCUAUUACACACGGAUGGCAUGAAGCCUCAAAGCAGCGCUGGGUAAGUGCCAUUGAGACUGUACCCAUCUUUCAAAUUACAUUUUAGUGACCAAGGUGGUGGAGUUUUCCUUUACAGUAUUGAAGUAAGAUGAUCACUUGUUUUCUGAGAAAUUUCUUCAGAACUCCAAUUAUUGUAGCUUUAAAUACAUAAAUGAUAGUAUAUUUUUCUUCUCCAUAGCUGUUCUUUGCACAGGUAGUUCCUUAGUGAACCGUAAGAUUCACUUUCUGAGCUCUUACCAUGUUUUGCUGUUCAUGGUGAAACCGCUUCUUGUUAUGCUUUCUCUUGACCUUGUUACUGUGCUCUCAUGGUUUGAAUAUUACUCUUUGACGAAUCAUUGUUUAAUUAUUUAUUUUCUUCUAUAGGUGUUCAUGCUGAUGGGGUUUGCAGUAUCCGGUGAGUUUUUCUUGUUACUGUUUAAUGCUCCACAAAAGACUAAAGAGGAUUACUGAUGACUAAGAACUGUCACUUGGACCAGUGAUUAGA
rnacentral:lncRNA from 1 species